rnacentral:rRNA from 1 species
GACGAACGCUGGCGGCGUGCUUAACACAUGCAAGUCGAACGGAAAGGCCCUGCUUUUGUGGGGUGCUCGAGUGGCGAACGGGUGAGUAACACGUGAGUAACCUGCCCUUGACUUUGGGAUAACUUCAGGAAACUGGGGCUAAUACCGGAUAGGAGCUCCUGCUGCAUGGUGGGGGUUGGAAAGUUUCGGCGGUUGGGGAUGGACUCGCGGCUUAUCAGCUUGUUGGUGGGGUAGUGGCUUACCAAGGCUUUGACGGGUAGCCGGCCUGAGAGGGUGACCGGCCACAUUGGGACUGAGGUACGGCCCAGACUCCUACGGGAGGCAGAAGUGGGGAAUAUUGCACAAUGGGCGGAAGCCUGAUGCAGCAACGCCGCGUGCGGGAUGACGGCCUUCGGGUUGUAAACCGCUUUCGCCUGUGACGAAGCGUGAGUGACGGUAAUGGGUAAAGAAGCAUCGGCUAACUACGUG